UCAUGUAAAACGAAUAAAAUCUUGGUUUUGAAGUAAAGAUCUUUAAACGUCCCAAGUUUUUGUUUGUUGAAAUCAGUUCUUUACAUAUUUGAUGAAAACCCAUCUUACUUUUCCCAAUUCACAAGCCUUAAAAGCCUCCGUUGAUUUUAUUUUUUAUUUUUUUGGAGAAUCACGGCAAGGAGAGAGCAUCUUGGUUUGGUUUGUGUGCUUCUAAAAGAGCUAUUACUGUUUGGGAUUUUGGUUUUGGCACCAAUAUGGGACUCUGAAUACAAAAUUUGGAGACUAGGGAGGACUUCUUUUGAAGAGCUGAGCUAUUUAAUUUGAUCCAUCAGGAACUUGAAUUAGUAAAGCAAAAGGCCCUUUCUAAACUAGAAAGUGGCGUUUCCAGUGCAGUGUUAAUCCUAGUUUAAAUGCAAUUCCAAAUGCUGAGUUUCAAUAAGAAACCGUGGGAUCUUCAGAGUUAAAUGACAACGAUCUUGAAAUCACCACACAUGCGAAAACUAACUCCAAGCACUCAAGGAAUCGCAGUCGUAGACGAGAGAGUCCUGACGGUAAAGAUGGAAGUAAAGCGUCAUCAACCAAUCUUUACGAGGAGACAUACUGUCGAGAUUUUGUGUGUAUAUGAAAAAUCAAAACCGCCUUCCACUGAUUUUGGUUAUAGCUUCUAUCUCGAUCCUCAUUCUGAUGCAGCUGAGCAUAAUCGUCCUUUUAGCAAGACCUCCCCAAGUCCAUGUGAUAUCUCAAAUGGAUUACAUGAACAGUUUUGGAAACAAUGGUCGAGAUAAAGCAGAAGCUGUAGCUUGGUUAGAGAAGCGAGUUUACCAUCUCAAAGAUGAAAUGCUUAUGGUCGAGACUUGUUUGGAGAAGAUACAACACGAAUAUUUACUCUUGAAAACUUAUCUAACAGGCCUUGAACAGUUUAAAAGUCAGAAAACAGAAUAACCUGUAGACUUCCCUUAUGCUCACUUGUGACUUAGAACUGUAUAUAUACAUAUGAGUGUCCAUUUCCUGUAUAACAAAAAGAAAGUCAGUAGGUGGAAUCAUCCGGAGAUUGUAAUUGCAGGACAAGUAUAUCAAUGUCCAUUUCCUGUAAUAAGAACAUUUUUUUCUUCAGAAUACAUAAAAAAUUA